UACGUAGGGUGCAAGCGUUGUCCGGAAUUAUUGGGCGUAAGAGCUCGUAGGCGGUCUGUCGCGUCGGCUGUGAAAACCCGGGGCUCAACCCCGGGCCUGCAGUCGAUACGGGCAGACUAGAGUGCGGUAGGGGAGACUGGAAUUCCUGGUGUAGCGGUGAAAUGCGCAGAUAUCGGGAGGAACACCUGUGGCGAAGGCGGCCAUCUGGACGGUGACGUGACGCUGAGACGCGAAAGCGUGGGUAGCAAACAGG
rnacentral:rRNA from 1 species